GCUGGGUGUGGUGGUGCGUCCCUGUAGUCCCAGCUACUCAGGAGGCUGAGGCUGGAGGAUUGCUUGAGUCCAGGAGUUCUGGGCUGAAGUGUUCUAUGCCGAUCAGGUGUCCGCACUAAGUUUGGCAUCAAUAUGGUGACCUUCUGGGAGUGGGGGAUCACCAGGUUACCUAAGGAGGGGUGAACCAUCCAGGUAGGAAAUGGAGCAGGUCAAAACUCCCGUGCUGAUCAGUAGCAGGAUCGCGCCUGUGAAUAGCCACUGCACUCCAGCCUGGGCAACAUAGUGAGACCCCGUCACU
rnacentral:SRP_RNA from 1 species